UACGUAGGGUGCAAGCGUUGUCCGGAAUUAUUGGGCGUAAAGAGCUCGUAGGCGGUCUGUCGCGUCUGCUGUGAAAACUCAGGGCUUAACCCUGAGCUUGCAGUGGGUACGGGCAGACUAGAGUACUGCAGGGGAGACUGGAAUUCCUGGUGUAGCGGUGGAAUGCGCAGAUAUCAGGAGGAACACCGGUGGCGAAGGCGGUUCUCUGGGACGGUACUGACGCUGAGACGCGAAAGCGUGGGGAGCGAACAGG
rnacentral:rRNA from 1 species